GCUCAACUGAGGAAUUGCUUUGGAAACUGGAUGACUUGAGUGCAGUAGAGGAAAGUGGAACUCCAUGUGUAGCGGUGAAAUGCGUAGAUAUAUGGAAGAACACCAGUGGCGAAGGCGGCUUUCUGGACUGUAACUGACGUUGAGGCUCGAAAGUGUGGGUAGCAAACAGGAUUAGAUACCCUGGUAGUCCACACCGUAAACGAUGAGUGCUAGGUGUUUGAGGGUUUCCGCCCUUAAGUGCCGCAGCUAACGCAUUAAGCACUCCGCCUGGGGAGUACGACCGCAAGGUUGAAACUCAAAGGAAUUGACGGGGACCCGCACAAGCGGUGGAGCAUGUGGUUUAACUCGAAGCAACGCGAAGAACCUUACCAGGUCUUGACAUCCCUUGACAACUCCAGAGAUGGAGCGUUCCCUUCGGGGACAAGGUGACAGGUGGUGCAUGGUUGUCGUCAGCUCGUGUCGUGAGAUGUUGGGUUAAGUCCCGCAACGAGCGCAACCCUUAUUACUAGUUGCCAGCAUUCAGUUGGGCACUCUAGUGAGACUGCCGGUGACAAACCGGAGGAAGGUGGGGAUGACGUCAAAUCAUCAUGCCCCUUAUGACCUGGGCUACACACGUGCUACAAUGGCGUAUACAACG
rnacentral:rRNA from 1 species